GAUCCUGGCUCAGGACGAACGCUGGCGGCGUGCCUAACACAUGCAAGUCGAACGGAAGCAAAGAUUUCGGUUUUUGCUUUAGUGGCGAACGGGUGAGUAACGCGUGAGGAACCUGCCUUUCAGUAGGGGACAACAGUUGGAAACGACUGCUAAUACCGCAUAAUGCUUUUGAGUGGCAUCACUUAAAAGCCAAAGAUUUAUUGCUGAAAGAUGGCCUCGCGUCUGAUUAGCUAGUUGGUGGGGUAACGG
rnacentral:rRNA from 1 species